rnacentral:rRNA from 2 species
CCAAUAGCGUAUAUUAAAGUUGCUGCAGUUAAAAAGCUCGUAGUUGAAUUUCGGGACUAAUAUGUCGGUCGUGCCUCGGUACGUACUGGCUUAUUGGUUUCUCCUUUCUGAAGAACCAUGAUGUCAUUUAUUUGGUGUCGUGGGGAAUCAGGACUGUUACUUUGAAAAAAUUAGAGUGUUUAAAGCAGGCUCACGCUUGAAUACAUUAGCAUGGAAUAAUGAAAUAGGACGUUUGAUUCUAUUUUGUUGGUUUCUAGGAUCGACGUAAUGAUUAAUAGGGAUAGUUGGGGGCAUUAGUAUUCAAUUGUCAGAGGUGAAAUUCUUGGAUUUAUUGAAGACUAACUACUGCGAAAGCAUUUGCCAAGGAUGUUUUCAUUAAUCAAGAACGAAAGUUAGGGGAUCGAAGACGAUCAGAUACCGUCGUAGUCUUAACCAUAAACUAUGCCGACUAGGGAUCGGAUGAUGUUAAUUUUUUAAUGACUCAUUCGGCGCCUUACG